AAAUAGAUACCCUGGUAGUCCACGCCGUAAACGAUGAGUGCUAAGUGUUAGAGGGUUUCCGCCCUUUAGUGCUGCAGCUAACGCAUUAAGCACUCCGCCUGGGGAGUACGGUCGCAAGACUGAAACUCAAAGGAAUUGACGGGGGCCCGCACAAGCGGUGGAGCAUGUGGUUUAAUUCGAAGCAACGCGAAGAACCUUGCCAGGUCUUGACAUCCUCUGACAACUCUAGAGAUAGAGCGUUCCCCUUCGGGGGACAGAGUGACAGGUGGUGCAUGGUUGUCGUCAGCUCGUGUCGUGAGAUGUUGGGUUAAGUCCCGCAACGAGCGCAACCCUUGAUCUUAGUUGCCAGCAUUUAGUUGGGCACUCUAAGGUGACUGCCGGUGACAAACCGGAGGAAGGUGGGGAUGACGUCAAAUCAUCAUGCCCCUUAUGACCUGGGCUACACACGUGCUACAAUGGAUGGUACAAAGGGCUGCAAGACCGCGAGGUCAAGCCAAUCCCAUAAAACCAUUCUCAGUUCGGAUCGU
rnacentral:rRNA from 1 species